rnacentral:lncRNA from 1 species
CGGCAUCCUAAAUUAUUUGCAUGAGUUGGCAAAAAGUGUUUGUGCCAAAAGCUCCUCUGGGGUUUGUUUCGGUUCUAUGAUGUGAAAGACAGUGAUAUGUAGUGGUGCUAGAAACUGGCAGCGGACAUAGGUGUGUCUUUCUCUGGAUUGGCCAUUUUGAGGUCUUGGGCAAGCGAUGACACCUAUUCAAGUCUCAGUUGCCUAUUGAGAAAUGUGUCAAUAAGAUCUAGAAAAUGAGAUAACGUGCUUCUCUGAGAUUUGAGAUCAGUUCUGCCAUCAUUGUUCAAGUGUUUGAGAUGAUCUGGAGCCUAGUUUCUUUAGGAAUAAUGGUUAAGUAGGCGACUAAGAAACAUGCUAUAUAGCAAGAACCCUGGAACUCCUACCAUGUCAUCAUCAACGUCAUUGCCUUGGGCAAACUCAGAAAAGGAACCAAGAACUGAACUGAUUAGAAGCAAGUGUUCACGAUAGGACAUUCAUGGGAGAACAGACUGUACUGACUUUAUUUGGACAUUCAACCCUAAGAAUGCAG